UUGGUUGGACGUCGGUGAUGCGCUUUCUGCCAUUGAUUUUGAUGUGAUAGAGUGAUCGGUGCUAUGAUGCGGCCAUGGGUGCGCAGGGGAAGGCGCAAAGAGCUGAGUUGAAUUGAAGGAAGGCGGAAGGCUCAAGAAUCAAUCUGUGUCAAGAACCUUGCUUUCGAACAACACGAACAAAACAAUCUCUUCCUUCCUUCAAAAUUUAAAAACCCUUUUAUCCAUUAAGAUCAAAAUUAAGAUUAGCUUAUACUGAAACCAUGAAUCCACCACAGUCUCCCUUCCUAUCACCUUCUCCACCCCAAAACGCAACCCAUCACUGCCGCAACAAAAGCAGAGCCACCGCAUUAACAUGAAAAAUAAUUCUACUUCCAAAAAUGAAUAAUAUUCACUACUACAAAAAAAGUGCAUAGAUAGUGCUUUUUU
rnacentral:lncRNA from 1 species